UACGGGGGGAGCAAGCGUUGUUCGGAUUUACUGGGCGUAAAGGGCGCGUAGGCGGUCAGCACAAGUCAGUUGUGAAAUCUCCGGGCUUAACUCGGAAAGGUCAACUGAUACUGUGCGACUAGAGUGCAGAAGGGGCAACUGGAAUUCGUCGGUGGUAGCGGUGAAAUGCGUAGAUAUCGAGAGGAACACCUGCGGCGAAGGCGGGUUGCUGGGCUGACACUGACGCUGGAGGCGCGAAAGCCAGGGGAGCGAACGGG
rnacentral:rRNA from 1 species